UACAGAGGUCCCAAGCGUUGUUCGGAUUCACUGGGCGUAAAGCGCACGUAGGCGGCUUUUUAAGUCAGGGGUGAAAUCCUGGAGCUCAACUCCAGAACUGCCUUUGAUACUGAGAGCUUGAGUCCGGGAGAGGUGAGUGGAACUGCGAGUGUAGAGGUGAAAUUCGUAGAUAUUCGCAAGAACACCAGUGGCGAAGGCGGCUCACUGGCCCGGUACUGACGCUGAGGUGCGAAAGCGUGGGGAGCAAACAGGG
rnacentral:rRNA from 1 species